UACGUAGGGGGCAAGCGUUGUCCGGAAUUAUUGGGCGUAAAGCGCGCGCAGGCGGUCCUUUAAGUCUGAUGUGAAAGUCCACGGCUCAACCGUGGGAUUGCAUUGGAAACUGGGGGACUUGAGUGCAGUAGAGGAGAGUGGAAUUCCUGGUGUAGCGGUGGAAUGCGCAGAUAUCAGGAGGAACACCGAUGGCGAAGGCAGAUCUCUGGGCCGUAACUGACGCUGAGGCGCGAAAGCGUGGGGAGCAAACGGG
rnacentral:rRNA from 1 species